rnacentral:lncRNA from 1 species
AUGCUCGCCAUGGUUUCUGUCCUUCAGAAACAAAUAAAUCGUAGUGCUUUUAAAUUCAGGGAGUAAGAGCUUUGCGCUGCACAUCUGAAAACACAGCCCGGCGGAGCAUCCCUCUUCUGGGCUUCCCUCUCGCAGCAAGAGGCCAGGAAAAAGUUCCAGGAAUGGGCACGACCGAUGAAGGAGCUGUUAGAAGAGACAAGUACACAAGAUCAACAUGUGUCCUUUCUCUAGACCUCAGCUCACCCCAAAUACUUUCCCAUUGACAUCUCUAAGCACACAGGGAAGGAGAUUUCAUGGAGACUGAAAUGAACAGACGUUUGGAAGCAAAAGAGAGACAGGCAAGCUGAUUGUUGGGUCACAGUUCUGUCUGGGAGGCAAGCUUAGUUAACUUUAUGAGCUGUGACCAAUGUUCUCAUUGAAGCAGCCAGAGUACUGAUCAAAUCACUUGCUAGAAACAUUAUAGUGUUUAUCAGAGCUAUGCAUAAAACAUUUCUUCAUGUUAAACUACACAGCACGACUUUUGGCAAGACAAUACAGUAGCAAUCCACAUUUUAUUUGAAGUAAAAAUAAUGCACACUGUAAUUAAUAUGUAUAAUUUAGAAUUUACACAAUAUGUAUAAUAUGAACAUUAUACUUUAUUGGGGAUUGUACUUUUAAAUGAUAAACAGAAAUGACGUUUCUAAUUUGUCAUUUUACCAAAUCAUAAUCCAAGAUCUUAACAUUAAGUUUUUUUAAAUGUUUUGGAAUUAUAGGUGGGCAUAGAUUAAUAUUUAAAAUCUAGAUUAAUCUCACUCUAAUCUUGGAAUUAAUCUAGAUUAAUCUAGAUUAAAAUGGCUCAUUUGAAUACUGCCGAAGGCAUUCAGGAUAUGUGUGCU